UGGGAACGCGAAGAACCUUACCAGGGCUUGACAUCCUACUAAUGAAGCAGAGAUGCAUUAAGUGCCCUUCGGGGAAAGUAGAGACAGGUGGUGCAUGGUUGUCGUCAGCUCGUGUCGUGAGAUGUUGGGUUAAGUCCCGCAACGAGCGCAACCCCUAUUGUUAGUUGCUACGCAAGAGCACUCUAGCGAGACUGCCGUUGACAAAACGGAGGAAGGUGGGGACGACGUCAAAUCAUCAUGCCCCUUAUGUCCUGGGCCACACACGUAAUACAAUGGCGUUAAACAGAGGGAUGCUAAGCCGUGAGGUGGAGCGAACCCCUAAAAGGCGUCUCAGUUCGGAUUGCAGGCUGCAACUCGCCUGCAUGAAGUCGGAAUCGCUAGUAAUCGCGGAUCAGAAUGCCGCGGUGAA
rnacentral:rRNA from 1 species